rnacentral:tRNA from 3 species
UCCCCUGUGGUGUAAUUGGCAACACGACCGGUUUUGGUCCGGUUGUUCCAGGUUCGAGUCCUGGCGGGGGAGCCA